rnacentral:rRNA from 1 species
UACAGAGGGGGCAAGCGUUGUUCGGAAUUACUGGGCGUAAAGGGCGCGUAGGCGGCCCGCUAAGUCGAACGUGAAAUCCCCGGGCUCAACCCGGGAACUGCGUCCGAUACUGGUGGGCUCGAAUCCGGGAGAGGGAUGCGGAAUUCCAGGUGUAGCGGUGAAAUGCGUAGAUAUCGGGAGGAACACCAGUGGCGAAGGCGACUACCUGGCCUGUUCUUGACGCUGAGGCGCGAAAGCUAGGGGAGCAAACGGG